GGACGACCAGCCACACUGGAACUGAGACACGGUCCAGACUCCUACGGGAGGCAGCAGUGGGGAAUUUUGGACAAUGGGCGAAAGCCUGAUCCAGCCAUUCCGCGUGCAGGAUGAAGGCCCUCGGGUUGUAAACUGCUUUUGUACAGAACGAAAAGGUUUCUAUUAAUACUAGGAGCUCAUGACGGUACUGUAAGAAUAAGCACCGGCUAACUACGUGCCAGCAGCCGCGGUAAUACGUAGGGUGCAAGCGUUAAUCGGAAUUACUGGGCGUAAAGCGUGCGCAGGCGGUUAUAUAAGUCAGAUGUGAAAUCCCCGGGCUCAACCUGGGAACUGCAUUUGAGACUGUAUAGCUAGAGUACGGUAGAGGGGGAUGGAAUUCCGCGUGUAGCAGUGAAAUGCGUAGAUAUGCGGAGGAACACCGAUGGCGAAGGCAAUCCCCUGGACCUGUACUGACGCUCAUGCACGAAAGCGUGGGGAGCAAACAGGAUUAGAUACCCUGGUAGUCCACGCCCUAAACGAUGUCAACUGGUUGUUGGGUCUUAACUGACUCAGUAACGAAGCUAACGCGUGAAGUUGACCGCCU
rnacentral:rRNA from 1 species